AUUGAACGCUGGCGGAAUGCCUAACACAUGCAAGUCGAGCGAGGUGUAGCAAUACACCUAGCGGCGGACGGGUGAGGAACACAUAGGAAUCUACCUUUUAGUGGGGGAUAACCCGGGGAAACUCGGAUUAAUACCGCAUACGAUCUACGGAUGAAAGUGGGGGACCGCAAGGCCUCACGCUGGUAGAUGAGCCUAUGUCUGAUUAGCUAGUUGGUAGGGUAAUGGCCUACCAAGGCGACGAUCAGUAGCUGGUUUGAGAGAACGAUCAGCCACACUGGAACUGAGACACGGUCCAGACUCCUACGGGAGGCAGCAGUGGGGAAUAUUGGACAAUGGGCGCAAGCCUGAUCCAGCAAUUCCGCGUGGGUGAAGAAGGCCUUCGGGUUGUAAAGCCCUUUAGACAGGAAAGAAAAGCCGUAUUUGAACAAUUUACGGUCUUGACGGUACCUGUAGAAUAAGCACCGGCUAACUCUGUGCCAGCAGCCGCAGUAA
rnacentral:rRNA from 1 species